AUUGAACGCUGGCGGCAUGCUUUACACAUGCAAGUCGAACGGCAGCGCGGGCUUCGGCCUGGCGGCGAGUGGCGAACGGGUGAGUAAUGCAUCGGAACGUGCCCAGUAGUGGGGGAUAGCCCAGCGAAAGCCGGAUUAAUACCGCAUACGACCUGAGGGUGAAAGCGGGGGACCGAAAGGCCUCGCGCUAUUGGAGCGGCCGAUGUCGGAUUAGCUAGUUGGUGGGGUAAAGGCUUACCAAGGCGACGAUCCGUAGCUGGUCUGAGAGGACGACCAGCCACACUGGGACUGAGACACGGCCCAGACUCCUACGGGAGGCAGCAGUGGGGAAUUUUGGACAAAGGGGGCAACCCUGAUCCAGCCAUGCCGCGUGCGGGAAGAAGGCCUUCGGGUUGUAAACCGCUUUUGUUCGGGAAGAAAUCCUCUGGGCUAAUACCCCGGGGGGAUGACGGUACCGGAAGAAUAAGCACCGGCUAACUACGUG
rnacentral:rRNA from 1 species